rnacentral:rRNA from 1 species
GACGAACGCUGGCGGCGUGCCUAAUACAUGCAAGUAGAACGCUGAAGGAGGAGCUUGCUUCUCUGGAUGAGUUGCGAACGGGUGAGUAACGCGUAGGUAACCUGCCUGGUAGCGGGGGAUAACUAUUGGAAACGAUAGCUAAUACCGCAUAAGAGUAGAUGUUGCAUGACAUUUGCUUAAAAGGUGCAAUUGCAUCACUACCAGAUAGACCUGCGUUGUAUUAGCUAGUUGGUGAGGUAACGGCUCACCAAGGCAACGAUACAUAGCCGACCUGAGAGGGUGAUCGGCCACACUGGGACUGAGACACGGCCCAGACUCCUACGGGAGGCAGCAGUAGGGAAUCUUCGGCAAUGGACGGAAGUCUGACCGAGCAACGCCGCGUGAGUGAAGAAGGUUUUCGGAUCGUAAAGCUCUGUUGUAAGAGAAGAACGAGUGUGAGAGUGGAAAGUUCACACUGUGACGGUAUCUUACCAGAAAGGGACGGCUAACUACGUG